rnacentral:rRNA from 1 species
GACGAACGCUGGCGGUGUGCUUCACACAUGCAAGUCGAACGAGGUAGCAAUACCUAGUGGCGGACGGGUGAGUAACGCGUGGGAAUCUGCCUUUAGAUGGGGGAUAACGGGUCGAAAGACUCGCUAAUACCGCAUAUGACGAAAGUUGAAAGGAGUAAUCCGUCUAAAGAUGAGCCCGCGUCCGAUUAGCUAGUUGGUAGAGUAAAAGCCUACCAAGGCGACGAUCGGUAGCUGGUCGUGAGAGGAUGAUCAGCCAACAAAUGGGACUGAGACACGGCCCAUACUCCUACGGGAGGCAGCAGUGGGAAUUUUACGCAAUGGGCGAAAGCCUGACGUAGCGACACCGCGUGAGCGAAGAAGCCCCUUGGGGUGUAAAGCUCUGUCAGCUGGAACGAAAAAAAUGACGGUACCAGCAGAGGAAGCAUCGGCUAACUACGUG